UGAGUUGAAGCUGAAAGAUAGCAUUUGGCCGUUAACCAAAAGGAUGAAGGUUAAACCCCUUUCAACUCAG
rnacentral:tRNA from 2 species